GACGAACGCUGGCGGCGUGCUUAACACAUGCAAGUCGAGCGGUAAGGCCCUUUCGGGGGUACACGAGCGGCGAACGGGUGAGUAACGCGUGGGUGACCUGCCCUCAGCUCUGGGAUAAGCCUGGGAAACCGGGUCUAAUACCGGAUAUGACUCCAUGACGCAUGUUGUGGGGUGGAAAGCCUUGUGCGGCUGAGGAUGGGCCCGCGGCCUAUCAGCUUGUUGGUGGGGUGAUGGCCUACCAAGGCGACGACGGGUAGCCGGCCUGAGAGGGCGACCGGCCACACUGGGACUGAGACACGGCCCAAACUCCUACGGGAGGCAGCAGUGGGGAAUAUUGGACAAUGGGCGAAAGCCUGAUCCAGCCAUGCCGCGUGAGUGAUGAAGGCCUUAGGGUUGUAAAGCUCUUUUACCCGGGAAGAUAAUGAC
rnacentral:rRNA from 1 species